GGUCGGUUUGGCCGGAUUUCACACAGGUGUUGCAUGGCUGUCGUCAGCUCGCGUCGUGAGAUGUUGGGUUAAGUCCCGCAACGAGCGCAACCCUCAUCCUUAGUUACCGUCAGGUUAUGCUGGGGACCUUAAGGAAACUGCCAGUGAUAAACUGGAGGAAGGUGGGGAUGAUGUCAAGCCAUCAUGGCCCUUAUGGAGUGGGCUACACACGUGCUACAAUGGUGAUUACAAUGGGCUGCAAGGUCGCAAGGCUGAGCUAAUCCUAAAAAUCAUCUCAGUUCGGAUUGUUCUCUGCAACCCGAAAGCAUGAAGUUGGAAUUGCUAGUAAUCGUGGAUCAGCAUGCCACGGUGAAUACGUUCUCGGGUCUUGUACACACUGCCCGUCACGCCAUGGUAAUUGGUUUCACUCGAAGCU
rnacentral:rRNA from 1 species